rnacentral:rRNA from 1 species
UACGGAGGGUGCGAGCGUUGUCCGGAAUCAUUGGGCGUAAAGGGCGCGUAGGUGGCCCGGUCAGUUCGUGGUGAAAGCGCGGGGCUCAACCCUGCGUCGGCCAUGAAUACUGCCGCGGCUGGAGCACUGUAGAGGCGGGCGGAAUUCCGGGUGUAGCGGUGGAAUGCGUAGAGACCCGGAGGAACACCAGUGGCGAAGGCGGCAUCCUGGUCUGCGACUGACGCUGAUGCGCGAAAGCAAGGGGAGCGAACGGG